GCCUUCGUGGUGUAGUGGUCAAAACGCUGGACGCGUAUUCUAAAUGUCCAUGGUUCAAAUCCUGGUGAAUGCG
rnacentral:tRNA from 1 species